UAGCAAAUAAUCAAAUUAACAUCUUAAAUAUCAAGAUCAUAUCAAUAAAAUAAAAACAUAUAUUAUCAGUUAUAUUAUUGAUAUACCAUGGAUUUUACCACGUUUAUACCAUGGUAUAUGACAUAUUUAGAGUCUAUUAUAUGGGUUUGGAGUAUGUUUUAGAAUGUUUUCAGGUUCAGGUACGUUUUGGAAAAUUUUGGUGAUUUUGAGGCUUUUUAAGGUGCAGAACUGCACAGACGCGUCAUAUGUUUAGGUAUAGAUGGAGGCCUUCCCACUGUGUGAUUGAACCCAUAUUUUGAUACAAGAUAUUUGAGUUAGCUUUCCAAUGCAAUCGGUUUAAGGUCAAUCAUCAUUCUAUAGCGGAAGUUAUGCCCGAUUUAGUGAAGAGUGGUACGUCUGCCUCACGAGAGGAAACUGUCGAGGAGAUGAAUGAACGUCGAUAAAUGACACAGCCUUGGUGUAUAUCGACGGUGAUGCCAGAAGACGGGCCGAGUCUAUUUCAUGACCGACUUAUUCCCAGAAGCCACCACAUAUUACCAGAAUGCCCAUGGACGACUAUAAACCUUAUUUAUGUGUUUUCUAAGCCAUUGUUGACGGUUACUCUUUCUAUUACUUCUUUUAUUCAUUGUUUUAGGGUUGGAGAGAAGAUCAAUUCUUCUUUAGAUAUUGAUUGGAACUCUUUUGGUUUUAUCUUUGAUUUCAUAUCAAUUAUAUUAUUUAGACUAAGAUUUAUGUUAUUGCUUCUAUGUCUGAGUAAUCAUCAUGUUAGAUUCAAAGAUUUCACGAGCAUGUCGAAUGAUAUACAAUAAAUUUUACCUACUUUUAGUCAUGGUAUAUAAGUGUUUUAGGAACCAUUUAUUAGAUAUUAGAGUCUUUUUAGCACAUUUACAUGUUUAUAUGUGAUUUGGAGAAAAAUGAUGAUUUGAGUGCAUUUUGGAGAUAAGAUGAGAGAAUCCUGUAGCUGACCAUCAAACCUGUCCGAAUGUCGACAUUCAGAGUCAAUCAUCGAUCGAUGCACACCCUGUGCCAUCGAUCGAUAGCGAAGCGCGCAAAGCCCAACCGACUUAAAACCCAAGUCAAGAUAUAUUUACAGAAAUACCCCUGGCCGACUUUUAACCUAAUAUUUAUGUGCUCCGCCAUUGUUCAAGGCAACACACGCUUUAGACACUUUCCUACUUUCUAGUUUUACACAACAAACUAUCCUAAAGGUUUUUAGUAGAUUUGGAGAGAAGAUCCAAGAUUCUUUCAAAGAUUUGUAUUGGAACUCCAAUAUUUAUAACCUUAAUUUAUUUAUGCAUUCUUUUAUGUUUAUUGUUAUGAAUUGUUUUGUUAUGCCUGAGUAGUCCACCUUGUUAGGUUUAUGGUUCAAAUAGGAUUAUGAAGGAUUAACCCCAAAUAUAGAAUUGCUAAGUUGUUAGUGAUAUCCAUCGGUUGAAUUGACCUUAUUGAUUGUGUUCUAUGUUAAGCUAGAUGGGUUUCCAACCUAAAACCAAUUAGUGAUAAGUGGAGUGACCCAUCUAUCUUAUAUAUUACUAAGGAUCCCUUUCAAUAUCCGAUGUGAGACAUUUAUCCCUAAUACGCCUCCUCAAGAUGAUGGCUCUUUGAGCGUCAAUCUCGGAAUGUUUGGGCAAGGAUCGAUGGACCGACUUUGGGCUGGAUCGAUAAUGGAUCGGAUUGGACUGCAUGGAUCGGGCUCUGAUACCAUGUUAAGCUAGAUGAGUUUCCAACCUAAAAUCAAUUGGUGAUAAGUGGAGUGGCCCGUCUAUCUUAUAUAAUACUAAGGAUCCCUUCCAAUAUCUGAUGUGAGAUAUUUAUCCCUAAUAUUCUAGAGUAGCUACCUAACUAGAACCCUGAUAUUAGGAUAAUUAGGCGCAAGCGGAAGCCUGGUCUUUUACCUGAACUAAUUCAUAUUGUGCUUGGAUUGCUAGAAACAAACGGAAGUUGAUCUAGGAAACCUAGUGAACAUAAUUCAAACCUGCUCAGUAAAGCUUGCUGGAAGGAACAUCAAUCGACAACCCUAUAGGUGUAUUGAUCGACCUUUCAGUAUCCAUCGAUAGUAUCGAUCGAUACUUUCUCUAGAUCAACAAACAACAGUUGAGAUCUGAGAUCCAGACAAUAGGUAUUCUAAAAAAACAAAAUUUGAUAGAACAUUACUUAGUUUGAGUUGUAGAAUAUCCAAUAUACAACCCUAGCUUCUAUACUAUUAUAAUCAUGAUUACUUGAAUGGAAACCCUAAGUCUAACGCCUUCUCAUUUUGCUUACAAACCUCAAAACCAAACAACCGAACAACUGCCUUGUUCACCCUGCAAUUUACUAUUUACAUUAUUUACCUAGCUUAAUCAUAAACUAUUUAGAUCUAUUGUGUGCCCCAGCUCCUUGUGGAUUUGAUCCCUAAGUACUACAACCCAACCUCUUAUUUGAGUGGGUAAAUCACUCCUUAGGGUAUUUUGAGGGAUAUCAUCGAACUAAUAAUCUGUUAGGAUUGCUAGGGUUGUUUAUUGAUUUUUACACUAGGGUAGCUUGUAAUACUGGGAUAUGGAAUAAUUAGAAAAUCACGACAGUGUGACUGAUUGUUUGAACCUAGAGUCAUAUGACAAUUAAGAAGCACGAAUGUGAAACUGAUUAACGGAACCCGAACCCUGAGUGAAUUAGAUACCUAGGCGCAUACGACAGUUGGUCUAGGGUUUAGUUGAACAUAAUCGAUUAGGUCUUUAAUGCUUGUCUGAAGAAGCAUCGAUCGAUGCUCAUGCCAUAUCAUCGAUCGACGCUCACUCCUUGUUCGCACGCGAUAGGACUUAGACAUCUGGUUAGUAAUUGCAUGUGAAAGUUGGAUUACUUGCUAUAGAAUUCGAGUUCUAGAAUUGAAUCUACAAAACCUUUAGCAUCCUUGAUUGUAGUAUUGAAUCACUUGAUUGGUAAAUCCCAAAAUCUAGUGUAUCUUUUUUAUUGUUUACGAACCUCAAUCAAUCAACUGAACAACUACCUUUUUCACCGUGCAUUCAUUUAUUUACUGCUUUAUAAACUGUUUGUCUAGCUUAAUCUUGAUUUUUAAGUCGAUAGUGUGCCCACCCUCCUUGUGGAUUCGAUCCGUAAGUAUUACAACUACAACUGAACCUCUUAUUUGAGAGAGUAAAGUUGGUCAAAUGGUAGUUUGAGUGAUAUCGAUUAUAUCAUUUACACAUAAAUAUAUUAUUAUAUUUUAAUUAGUUGAUUUAUUCAGUUUAGUCAGUUUAUAUAUCGAAUCAUAUCAUAUACUAUGGUUUUUUCUUAAAAUAAUAUCAAUUCGAUUUAUAUGGUAAUACCGAAUCCAAAUCACUUUCUAUUCGGUUCGGUUUUAGUUGUUUGGGCUUUACCGAAUUGAGAUCUUGGUAAAUUUAUGUUAGUUUUUAGAUUUCUUUUCUUUUUUGACUUCUCCCCCCCUCAACCCCUUAAAUACAGACGGUCCAGGCCCAAAACCAAAGUCGCCUCUCCUCUUCCACGUGGUAAGCUAGUCGUUCGACUUUGUCUCUUAACCUACCAAAACUAUUUGGGCCGAAAUACCUGAAUUAGAUGUAAUGGGCCUUUUUGAUAAGAAACUCGUUUGUCUAAAAAGGGAGCGAGAUCAAAAUCUCUUUGUUUCGUCUUCUUCGUCCCUAAGAGACGACACCUAUAAGUCUUAAACCCUUAAGAAGCACUAUGAAGGAUCGAAUCUGAUAGUUGGAGAUGAGUUUUUUGCUUCGUCUUCCUCAAACCCACCUGCGGAAAAUGUCAGUGCUCAUGGGCUCGAAGCAAUUCCUCGGCUUUUGUCUUGUUCGUAUACUUGUGGUAGUCAAAGGCAGUGCUAUCUUCCGUUUCUAAAAGAUUUCGUCCGGUUUAGCCUCGAGACCCGUGUCCAAAAGCAACCCCUUUCACCAUACACUUCAGAAGAAGAAGAAGAAGCUGUUCAAUCUUAGAUUAGUGAAUUAUAAAUUGGCUGGACAUUGAAUUGAUGCCCAGAACGACAAUACAGUGGCUUGAUAUGUUCCAAGGUACAACAUUUCUCUUCUGACUGUGAGAGUACUAUGUGAAUGUUGCCUUUUUAGAGUAACUAGUUAAAGGCUAAGUUUACACUCUUCUUAUGUGUAACAUCAGUGUGAAGGUGGUGAAAAAAGCUUAGUCUCUUUUCUUGCUCUGGAUAGGUACUCUAUCUCAAAUGGUAUUGUUAUGAUCUGUUUUGUCAUUAGAAAGUACUAGCUGAAGUUGUUCUGAAGUAGUCAAGAGUUUAGAUUAAAGAGGUCCACUCAUAGAUAUUGAUAACUCAGAGGAACUUGGUUCAGUAAUGAAAGGUUAACUGCUUUAUUCUCAUACUCUCUCCUAUAACACCUGAGAAGCCUGAGAGGAGAUCAAACAGACGGCCAUGAGCUAGUUUGGUGAGUUGACAGACAGCUUAACAAAUUGGGACAUAGACGUAUCGAUGACAUUUGUCUGCUAAUUUUUUUAUUCCUUUUGGUGAGGCAAAAGAUCUUUUUGUGAGAUUCUUACUUACCUUUUGUAACAAUUAACAGACUGUCUAUGUGUGUGUAAUGUGGGGAUAGUUUCCUUGUUCUGUCUGGUGGGUCUGAUGCAAAAAAAAACGUGACUAUAGAUUUGGUUUUUGUACAGCUCGAUCUGGUGAUCUUUUGUGCUCUGUCUCUUUGUGUAGUUUGUUCUAUUUCUCUCUGUAUCUUGUCUGUCUCCUUUUGCUGCGGCUGAUUUCGCGGGAUGAAUUAGCUGUAACUAUUGACUUCUAACAACUUAUGUGUUAACAAUUAUGCAA